ACAUAUAGAAGUUUAUUCAGUCAAUUGCCUCGCUGAUUUAUUAUUGUACGAUGCAAAACACUUAGUCAGCAUUGAAAACUUAAUUUUGCUCUCAGGUAUACCCGCGCAUAAACCAGACACCCUAAUAAAUGAAAAAGAAAAAAAAACACUAGCUAGUACUCCGCUUCUCUUCCCAUCGCCCUCGCCGACCAUCUGCUCCUCUACCGGCCGGGCUCUACAUCGCCUUCUCCUACUGCGCCAGCUCCUCCAAUUAUUCACCGUCGCGGCCGCCGCCACCGCCGCCUCUAAUUUCUUGCGACCUAUUCUGCACAAAUCGAACUCGCAUCCCCGUUUUCUCCCUCCUCUUCUCCAAUUGGUUCACCACACUCAAUCAGUACUUUUGUUGGUAUGGAAUAGUUGCUGAUCGAAUUUCGGCAUCCACGUCUUCUCCCUCCUCUUCUCCAACUGGUUCACCACACUAAGUCAUGUACAAAUAUUGAAUUUCGUUGAAGAUUAUUUUGUUUAAUUUGAAAGGUAUUUUUCAAUUUCAUUGAAUUUUGUGGUACUUUUAUUGGGUAUGCAAUAGCUUCUGAAUUUCCUUAACAAAUGCGAAUAUUAUAAUCGUAGUUUUUGAUGAAUUGUAAUUGGGCUAAAGUUUUGGCAAGAAUAUGAAUCUAGACAAGUGCUGCUUCAUAUUAUAUUAUUACUGACCAAGAAAAUAAGAACAGUAAAGAACCGGAGUACUUAAAACUAAAUGGAUGUUCUGCCCUACUUUGUAGUUUUCAUGAAUCUGAUAUGUUUUGUGCACUCUGGUUCUGUGCAAUCUGCUCUGUUUUUGUGCAAUUCGUUUUGGUACCGUUAGCUCUUUUUUCAGAAUGCUCAGUCAGUUGGGUGUUCAUAUGUACUUAUCGGAACUAAUCUAAUUAGAACUGUUCGGAACUGAUCAGAUCAGAACUCAUCAGAACUGAACUGUACUGUUAUGAACUAAUUAAUUUUGAUCUGACCAGUUCAGUUUUGAUCGGUUCUAAUCUGAACUGAACUGUUUAGAACUGAUCAGAUCAGAACUAAUCAGACCUGAACUGUUCUGUAAGAGCAGAGAGAGUAUAAUUUAUGAAAUUGUAGUAUUAUUAUUUAUUAUAAACGACAAGAUUACAUGGAUGUGGAGAAACCGAAACAUCAUCUCAAUCACAAAGCCAUAGAGAAAAAGACACACAACUAGUAGAGCUAGCUUACAAUGAACUUACAAAUAAGUAAAAAUGUUGAUUGAUUACAAAUGAUUAGGGCUCAACUGAAGUGACUUAAAAUAGGUGGUGGUGCUUCUUUCCUUCAUGAUCGUGCUCUUUCUUCUCCUCCUUGGCAUCCUUCUUCUCAUGGUGUUCAUGGAAGGCAUAGCCACCAGCUCCAACCGCCGCAGCGGCCGCGAUUUCCUCCUCAAUCUUGUGCUUGUGAGCAUGCUCUGGGUCUUUCUUUGCCUUAUGCUUCUCAUGCUGCAAUUACCCACACAUGACAUUUAGCAACUAAUAAUCCACUAAAUUGUUGCUUAAUUUAAUUAGCAACUACCACAUCAAUUAAUUGAUUAAUGUACAACUAAUUAGGUAAGAAGUCACUUUCGCCAUAGCAUUGUUGUUGACUCGUAAGGUUAUACUUUUUGUUUUCUCAAGGUAAAGGAAAAACACAAACUCGUAUAAAAAUUGUAUGGUAGGAUUUUUAUUUGUCCGACUAUGUAUUAGUUAUACGAAACAGAAAUUUGAAGAAGGUAAAAAUCACCUUUUUGACUGGCUAACUAUGUACUUCCUCCGUUCCGGAAAUAUCGCAUCAUGGUUUACUUUUACUCCUCUAAUCAUUAUUUUAACUCUUAAUAUCUCAAAUUAUAUGCAAGUAAAGAUUAUAAUAAAAUAAUAUUUAGAAAAUAUAUAACGGUAUGAAUCUAACAUGACCCCACAUGACUAAAAUUACUUUACGUACAAAUCACAAAAAAUGGCCAAAUUCGUAGUGUGAAUAGUGUAAAAAACAAAUGGUGCGACAUUUCCGGAACGGAUGAAAUAUAACAUUUGAUCAGCCCGAUAAAAAUCUCUAGUCGCCAAAAACAAGCUGCCUCCAACGCUCAAAUUAAUUAGCUUCAAAGUUAUGCAAGAUUUAUUAGUGGCCUGUAUGGCCAAUUUAUGUAUCAGCAAAUUUCACUUCUUAGAUACGUACUUGUAUAGUUGUGUGCAAUUUUACAAAUAUGUACUCCCACCGUCCCUUAAUAUCCGAACCAAUUAGACAUUUUGCACUAUUCACAUAAUUUACUUGGACCCUAUUUUAUUUCUAUUAUACGAAAACAAAUAGUAUAUAAUAUAUUGUUGACUUCAUCUUAAUAUAUAUUUUCAAAAUAUUAAUAUUUUUAUAAGUUUUUAUAAUACGUAGUUAAAGAAAUUGGUGAUCAAAUUAAAUUGUGCAUCGGUAAAUAUAUCCGGUCAAAACAAGUCGAGUAUUAAAGGACAGAGUUAGUAGUCAAACAAUGUGAUCCCUUAAUCGAAAAUAAUAUGGAUCGAAUAAGUAUUUUAAAACGUCCGAGUAAACUUGUAACGUGUCCACCUUGAUCAAAGAGUAAUCUUGACCCCUUUUAUCAUUCUUACUAUUUUUAAGUCCUUGCUAAAAUUGAAAAAAUUUAAUGUGUAAAAUGAUGAGAAUGAUCCAAUUAUUAUAAAAGUAUUUUAAGUAAAAUAUGCCCAUAAUAUUGACAAGGGAUAUAUAUAUAAAUGUAGAAAAUAAAAAAGAGAUGAGAAAUAUACCAGAGCAAAGGCACCAGCAGCAACAGCACCAAGCUCACCCAAAUGCUCCUUAUGGCCGUGGUGCUUAACCUCCUUCUCAUAAUCUUUUUCGUCGGCGACCACCGCAGUUGUAGUGGUCUCGGUGUAUCCACUGCCGUACGCGGUGUCGGGAUAGGUGGUGGUGUCACUUAGGAUCACAGCUUCCACUGGGGUAUUCUCCUCAUCAUCCUUC